AUUGAACGCUGGCGGAAUGCUUUACACAUGCAAGUCGAACGGCAGCACGGACUUCGGUCUGGUGGCGAGUGGCGAACGGGUGAGUAAUGUAUCGGAACGUGCCCAGUCGUGGGGGAUAACGUAGUGAAAAUUACGCUAAUACCGCAUCAGAUCUAUGGCUGAAAGCGGGGGAUCGCAAGUACUCGCGCGAUCGGAGCGGCUGAUAUCAGAUUAGGUAGUUGGUGGGGUAAAGGCCCACCAAGCCAACGAUCUGUAGCUGGUCUGAGAGGACGACCAGCCACACUGGAACUGAGACACGGUCCAGACUCCUACGGGAGGCAGCAGUGGGGAAUUUUGGACAAUGGGCGAAAGCCUGAUCCAGCCAUUCCGCGUGCAGGAUGAAGGCCCUCGGGUUGUAAACUGCUUUUGUACAGAACGAAAAGGUUUCUACUAAUACUAGGAGCUCAUGACGGUACUGUAAGAAUAAGCACCGGCUAACUACGUGCCAGCCGCCGCCGUAA
rnacentral:rRNA from 1 species